GUCCACGCCGUAAACGAUGAUGACUAGAUGUUGGGGGAGUUGACCCCCUCAGUAUCGGAGCUCACGCAUUAAGUCAUCCGCCUGGGGAGUACGGCCGCAAGGCUAAAACUCAAAGGAAUUGACGGGGGCCCGCACAAGCGGUGGAGUAUGUGGUUUAAUUCGAAGCAACGCGAAGAACCUUACCUGGGCUUGACAUACCCUGAAUACGGCAGAGACGUCGUAGGCUCGCAAGAGACAGGGAUACAGGUGCUGCAUGGCUGUCGU
rnacentral:rRNA from 1 species